rnacentral:misc_RNA from 1 species
GAUGAAGAACGUAGCGAAAUGCGAUAAGUAAUGUGAAUUGCAGAAUUCAGUGAAUCAUCGAAUCUUUGAACGCACAUGGCGCCCCCUGGUAUUCCGGGGGGCAUGCCUGUCCGAGCGUCAUUACAACCCUCAAGCUCAGCUUGGUGUUGGGCCCCGCCGCCCCGGCGGGCCCUAAAGUCAGUGGCGGUGCCGUCCGGCUCCGAGCGUAGUAAUUCUUCUCGCUCUGGAGGUCCGGUCGUGUGCUCGCCAGCAACCCCCAAUUUUUUUCAGGUUGACCUCGGAUCAGGUAGGGAUACCCGCUGAACUUAAGCAUAUCAAUAAGCGGAGGA